rnacentral:rRNA from 1 species
UGGCGGACGGGUGAGUAACGCGUGGGUAACCUGCCUCAUACAGGGGGAUAACAGUUAGAAAUGACUGCUAAUACCGCAUAAGCGCACGGAACCGCAUGGUUUUGUGUGAAAAACUCCGGUGGUAUGAGAUGGACCCGCGUCUGAUUAGCUGGUUGGCGGGGUAACGGCCCACCAAGGCGACGAUCAGUAGCCGGCCUGAGAGGGUGAACGGCCACAUUGGGACUGAGACACGGCCCAAACUCCUACGGAAGGCAGCAG